rnacentral:tRNA from 1 species
GGAGCAGCGAAACACGAAUAUAUCGACUACACUCGUAGAAGCUUAAGUGCCAAUAUCUUUGGACGAGGGUUCGACUCCCUCCGUCUCCACCA